GUAUAAUGGGUCAGCGACUUAUAUUCUGUAGCAAGGUUAACCGAAUAGGGGAGCCGAAGGGAAACCGAGUCUUAACUGGGCGUUAAGUUGCAGGGUAUAGACCCGAAACCCGGUGAUCUAGCCAUGGGCAGGUUGAAGGUUGGGUAACACUAACUGGAGGACCGAACCGACUAAUGUUGAAAAAUUAGCGGAUGACUUGUGGCUGGGGGUGAAAGGCCAAUCAAACCGGGAGAUAGCUGGUUCUCCCCGAAAGCUAUUUAGGUAGCGCCUCGUGAAUUCAUCUCCGGGGGUAGAGCACUGUUUCGGCAAGGGGGUCAUCCCGACUUACCAACCCGAUGCAAACUGCGAAUACCGGAGAAUGUUAUCACGGGAGACACACGGCGGGUGCUAACGUCCGUCGUGAAGAGGGAAACAACCCAGACCGCCAGCUAAGGUCCCAAAGUCAUGGUUAAGUGGGAAACGAUGUGGGAAGGCCCAGACAGCCAGGAUGUUGGCUUAGAAGCAGCCAUCAUUUAAAGAAAGCGUAAUAGCUCACUGGUCGAGUCGGCCUGCGCG
rnacentral:rRNA from 1 species